rnacentral:rRNA from 1 species
UGUAAGCGUAUACCAAAGUUGUUGCAGUUAAAACGCUCGUAGUCGGAAUUUGGCAGUUCCGGAUGUGUGCACGUCGUGUGCGCACUUCGCGGGGAUUGCUUUUGUGGUCUUGCGUAGGAUGAGGCACUUUUAUUAGUGAACGUCCUCACGCAACCACUUUUUACUGUGAGAAAAUCAGAGUGCUCAAAGCAGGCAUUUGCCGUGAAUGUAUUAGCAUGGAAUAAUAGAAUAGGACUUGGUUCUAUUUUGUUGGUUUGUUGGGACUGAGUAAUGAAUAAGAGGGACAGUUGGGGGCAUUUGUAUUUCGGUGCUAGAGGUGAAAUUCUUAGAUUACCGAAAGACAAACUGCUGCGAAAGCGUCUGCCAAGGAUGUUUUCAUUGA